GCAGCUCAUUACCUCCAACAGCACUUCCGGGAUUCUUUACGUCAGCUUAUUCUCUUCUUCAGAGGCAAAAAUCAUUUCCGCGGACGUGUUGGCAUCUUCUGUCGCACAUUACGACCGUUUUCAUACUCCUCCUUUACAAUGACAAGGAGCUAAUACACACCUGAGGAGGUUGUUAGCAUGCUAAAUGCUACCUGCACUUUCAGCAGGAGCAGCCAACAACUUCCGGUCCACCGCGACCUCUGAACUGCGAUGCUAUUGGUCAAUGCAGUCACGAGACAAUGCUCAUCAUUAGCCACGGUAAUAGUAAAAAUAAGCGUCUAAAAUAUGUACAAUAAUAUGUGUCAACGUUAUGACUCAUGGAAUAGGACGUUUAGAAAACAAGUGUAUGCGUUUAGUUAAAAUAAAUGAAGGCUGCUUGUCUUACCUGUGUUGAAGUAUCCAUCUUACCGGAACAGCCAAUGGACAGUCAGCCAACAAUGUGACCUGCCAAAACCCUACACAGAAGCCUGAGGACAUCUCCAGUGGAUAAAAAGACGGCAUCCUCGGUGGUUCCAAUUUCCAGCCCAUUCCCCAAUUUUCAACCCCAAUGACAGACAACACACGCUUGAAUGGCUGUUCAGCUAAAGAAGGGGCAAUUGUUUCACUUCCUGUGCUACCCAAAGAAUGGACUGAGGCCGGCGCUGCUGAGCCUGGCAGGAUGGAGGGAGACAGAGGGAAGAGAGGAGUGGUAGAAGGGGAAAGACAAAACAAGAGACGUGAAGAUGAGACUGUAGGAGAGUAAACCGAGCGGUGGAAGGGGAAGGAAAAAAUGGAAGGGGGGGAAAUCUCCAGCCAGAUCUAAGGUGCACAGACAUGAAGGCACAUACGUCCCUUAUCCAGCUAAUAUAUAACAUGACAUGUGGUUUACAAAGGAAAUGAAAAGGAUUUCGCUGCUGACUUCUCUUGCAGUUCUCAGGUGAAGCCGGAAACUGCUGAGCAACAGACCGAGCUCCAGUCACACACGCAUAACUCAAUCACAGGGCCGAUGGUAUCGAACGACACAAUUUGGCAUUGCUGUUUUUUCCCCAAAUCGAAUUAAACCACCGGACUAAACAACUGAAUGUCAAUUGCUACGGUGCGCCUGAAUUUGCAUAAAGUCUUUUUUUUCCUUCAGUGCGUAGAAGUAACUUAAUAUGCCAUGGUACUUCCUGGGAAAUUCUCCAUGCUUAUUAAGCCUGAUAAUGCUUUCGCUAAAGGCUCUCCAAGCCAGUAGUUUACAUUAUAUUACAACAACAUGCCCACAACGUCAAUCAUGCUCUCUUCUCAGGACGUUGUGUAAUUUCCACAUCAGAAACAGGAGAUGUGAUAAGAGAACACCACACAGAUUUCCACAGACAAUCAAUUACGACCUGACCCGCCAAAAUGUUUCCCUUUGGCGUGAUCCCGCUCCUCAGUUCCUUCUUUUUUUUUUUGCUUCUCCAGAGGGGGUCUAUUCCCAUAGUUUCCCCUCUGUAAUAGUUUUUUGGCAUAUUACUCUCCACGAUCCACCCCAGAGGUCUCCCAUAAUUCACUUUUGAUAUCAUUGUUUAGUUGUAGAAUUAGGGGAGGGGUUCACACUGGGAACAGGGUUGGCAGUGGGACAUUAAUUCAUUCA